CCUACGGGAGUCAGCAGUAGGGAAUCUUUCACAAUGGGCGAACGCCUGAUGGAGCAACGCCGCGUGCAGGAUGAAGGCCUUCGGGUUGUAAACUGCUUUUAUAAGCGAGAAAUAUGAUGGUAACUUAUGAAUAAGGAUCGGCUAACUACGUGCCAGCAGCCGCGGUCAUACGUAGGAUCCGAGCAUUAUCCGGAGUGACUGGGUGUAAAGAGUUGCGUAGGUGGCAUAAUAAGUAGCUAGUGAAAUCUGGUGGCUCAACCAUUCAGACUAUUAGCUAAACUGUUAAGCGAGAGACCGUGAGGGGUAAGUGGAAUUUCUAGUGUAGGAGUGAAAACCGUAGAUAUUAGAAGGAACACUAAUAGAGUAGGCAGGUUGCUGGGACGGUUCUGACACUAAGGCACGAAAGCGUAGGGAGCAAACGGGAUUAGAUACCCUUGUAGUC
rnacentral:rRNA from 1 species